GACUACAAGGGUAUCUAAUCCUGUUUGCUCCCCUAGCUUUCGUGCCUCAGUGUCAGGAGUUGUCCAGGGACUCGCCUUCGCCACUGGUGUUCCACUUGAUAUCUACGCAUUUCACUGCUACACCAAGUAUUCCAGUCCCCCCUCCAACCCUCCAGCAAGGUAGUUUCCAAUGCAGUUUCGGAGUUGAGCUCCGAGAUUUCACAUCCGACACACCUCACCACCUACGCACCCUUUACGCCCAGUGAAUCCGAACAACGCUCGGGACCUCUGUAUUACCGCGGCUGCUGGCACAGAGUUAGCCGUCCCUUCCUCUUCCGCUACUAUCAACACAUCAUCUUUUAAAUAAUGCGCUUUGCUCGCAAAUGACAGGGGUUUACGGGCCGAAGCCAUUCAUCCCCCACGCGGCGUCGCUCCAUCAGGGUUUCCCCCAUUGUGAAAAAUUCUCGACUGCAGCCCCCCGUAGG
rnacentral:rRNA from 1 species